rnacentral:lncRNA from 1 species
GCUGCCCUUGAACUCACAGAGAUCUGCCUACCUCUGCCUUAAGUCCUGGAAUUAAAGGUGUGCUCCAACACUCUUGACUCUUCUUUGACAGUUUUAGAUUGCAGUGAUUGAACCUAGAACUUCCAUCAUUGUGGUGUCUGUCAAUGUAGCUCUGGCUGGCAUGAAACACAGUGUAGCUGAAGAUGUCCUUGAACUCCUUCUAAUUGUCCCAUAUCAGACUCCAGUGUGCCUUGAUUAAAGGUCUGUACUACUAUGUCUGGAUAAAUCUUUAAAUUUUUAAAGCUUGCAUUUUAUUUAGUACGAGGUAGGGAAUAUGGCAGCAUGCAGGUACAGAGACAAGACAACUUGAGGGAAUCAGUUUCUUCCUUCUACUCUAUGGGUUUCAGGAGUCAUCGGGCUUGGUAACAAGUAAAUUGCACUUCAUCCUUUGGAGUUCUAAAAUAUAUUUAGCCAAUUUCUGUUGAUGAUGGAUAUACUCAUAGUUGCCAAAAAUAUUUGUUUAUUAGGUUUUUGUUUUUGACAGUGUCUCUAAUGGAGCCCAAGCUGGCCUUAAAUUGGUAAUUAUCUUAGCCUCUUGAUCGAUGUGAUUAUAGGCAUGAGCUAUCACCUGUAAGUUUGUAUCAGGGAAGGGGGGUGGGGGGUACAAUUUCUUUUGUGUUGUGUGUUAAGGUCCAGACUACUUGCAUGUAGAAGACCAAUCCUUUAGAGAUGAGACUAGGCAUUACGGAGUGGAAUCAGGUUUAUUGAAGGGCUGGCAAUCUGGAGAAAACAGAGAGUCUCAAACUUCAAAGCAUUAUUUUCCAGGAGCCCAGCAGUACAGAGGCUUUACUAGGGAGGGAAAGAUAGACGGGAGUAAGAAGGGGGCAGUAUCUCUUAUAGGUCAUCCAGAAUGUGUCAUUCCACGCACCCCCUUCCUUUUUAGCUUCUGCAGUUCAGCUUCUGGCUAACUUGUUAACUCAAGUAUGUCAGUUCAGGGUAUGGGGUUUUGAGCUUAAAAGUCUACCCUAAGAAAGGUGUAGGACUACACCAGGAUCCCAAACACCCAGUGUAGUCAUUGGGCAGCUAACAAAGGCUUUCAAUUGGUUUAAAAUCCCAAGUGGUCUUCUCUGGUGGAUAGUCCACAACAAAAAUGAAUGAAGA